AUUGAACGCUGGCGGCAGGCCUAACACAUGCAAGUCGAACGGUAACAGGAAGAAGCUUGCUUCUUUGCUGACGAGUGGCGGGCGGGUGAGUAAUGUCUGGGAAACUGCCUGAUGGAGGGGGAUAACUACUGGAAACGGUAGCUAAUACCGCAUAUCGUCGCAAGACCAAAGAGGGGGACCUUCGGGCCUCUUGCCAUCGGAUGUGCCCAGAUGGGAUUAGCUAGUAGGUGGGGUAACGGCUCACCUAGGCGACGAUCCCUAGCUGGUCUGAGAGGAUGACCAGCCACACUGGAACUGAGACACGGUCCAGACUCCUACGGGAGGCAGCAGUGGGGAAUAUUGGACAAUGGGCGCAAGCCUGAUGCAGCCAUGCCGCGUGUAUGAAGAAGGCCUUCGGGUUGUAAAGUACUUUCAGCGGGGAGGAAGGGAGUAAAGUUAAUACCUUUGCUCAUUGACGUUACCCGAAGAAGAAGCACCGGCUAACUCCGUG
rnacentral:rRNA from 1 species